rnacentral:tRNA from 1 species
GGAAGUAGUUCAGUGGUAGAACAUCACCUUGCCAAGGUGGGGGUCGCGGGUUCGAACCCCGUCUUCC